AAAGGCUAACAAUGGUUUCAUAAAGAAAAAAUAUCACCUUGUGCUGGUCCACUGUCCCCACUCCCCCAAUCCUGACUAGUCCCCUGAGUUUGCUCCAUUCCACACUGUCAAGGAAGGAAUCAGUGCAGGAUGAUGGUCAGGAAGACAGCCGGAGCAGGGUCUGGCCAAACAAAAUGAUGUUACAAAACAACGUCCUUGUCUAGGACAAAAGAGCUAUUAAUGAUAAUCAGUACAUAUUACUGAAAGUGCUCCAAGUAAUCUUUGGACUUUGUUUCAAAAAUUCUUAAUGGACACUAAUGCUUAGAGUUCACUCAAAAGAGAAAUAAAUUACGUGCCAGGGUUGCGGGGACCAAGGACAACAGGAGGAAGGCAUCAAAGCAUUAGCGAUGUUACGACAAUCAAACAUUUUGUAAUUGCAUAAAAAGCCUUUAAAAAUCAUUUAGAAAUACUAAUUAUGAGGACAAAUAAUACUUUAACACGAGGUUUCUUUCAUGUUAGAUUUGCACCUAGGUUGAGCUGUUUUGGAAGUAAUCCUUCAGCUCGUUUACCAAUCAAGGUACUUUUUACAAUGUUAAACACUACGUUUUAGUUUGAAAAACGGUUAUGGGAAGGAAUCGGAGAUCUUUUUCCUGUUUUUGAAUCAAAAUUUUUUUCAAAUGAUUGCCCUCCAUCUCUAGGUCAUACUUUCUGACAUAUGUGUCCAGAACAAUCUUCUAAUUUAGGACAGAACUAGCCCCUCUUUUAAGUCCUGCCUUUAUCUUUGAGAAAACUGUUCCAAGGACAAAACCUCAUUCCCGGUCUCCCAGCAAAGACAACAUAAAGCGACCAUCAGAUUGUCCUAGAAAGAAAUCUUGGGACUAAACUUACUUGGGGAACAUCCAUCUUCUCUCCCAGAGAUGACUAUUCAAUGCCUUAUGAAAAGUCCACACCUAAGGAGGGUAAUUUUUCCUCUUAUGGCUUGCUGGUGCCAAAUGUCUGAUUAGUACUAAUGGACAGUAAGAAUAAUCUUUGUUCUUUCAAAUUGAUUUCUUUUUAUUGAGUCUCUAUCUUGAAAAUGGAGUACCCAUUAGAUAUUACUUGGUUGAUUUCAAAGUCUGAUCUUAGAGCUCUGGGCAGAGAUGAGAAGUGAAACUAUUAAAACUUCCAGCUGAGCCCUUCUGGAACUGAGUAGUUUUAUUUUAUAAGGGAAUAAUCUGAGUCAGGUAAAAUCAUCAGCUUUUAUCAAGCUUUUCCAAGAAAUGCUUUACUUACACACCUCAGAGGUCUGUUGAAAUUGUUUAUCUUUGCCACUGAUAUGGGCAGGUACUGACUUGAACAGUCUGCAGGUGACUUGCCUGGAUGUUGUCAAACGCAUGGCUUUAGCUACAAAACCCAAAAUCAAGGUUACCCAGACUGGUUGGACAAGGAUAACCCAAAGAUUUUGGAGUUGGAGCCCCAAAGCAAGUCAGGCACUUUAGACGCUUCUCAUAGAUUAUGUCCUAGCAUACUCAACACAAUCGCACCUCAGGGAGCAGGGACCCUGAUGAGCAGAGCAGGUCAAGCAAGUAAUGACUGAAGAACUCUGGUCUGCAGCCACCCCAAACCAGAGUCUGCUGCUGAUGUCAGAGCAUGGGUAAAACAAGAGGUAUACUAGUCAGGGCAAAGGAAGAAACGAUUCCAAGGGUCCACUCAUGGGCUGAAUCACCUGGAUGGAGAGGAAAUCCACCGAAGUAGAAACAAGGGGAAUUUGGUUCUGACUUUGGAGGAAAUGAAUUCCACACUCAGAACCAGGAUGAAGUAGAAGCCUCAGGAUCCAAGAAGAGGAGAGGUGGCUUCAGUUAGUCCUGAAUGUAUAGGAGACCAAGGUUCUGUAAAAGAUUUCUAAAAAUGCCAACAUCAUUAUCAUCUUGAAGAAGAAAGAUGGAAAGUCCAAUUAAACUAUCUCUCUGCAGCUUCUCUAUGCUCCUCUGAUGACAAUUUUAGGCAGUUGGUCAAGCUUGACCACUGCUCAGUGACAGUUCAAGAAAAAAAAAAAGCAGUUGUCAAGGCAUUUACUUUGCAGUCACAGAAUUUAUUGAGUGGGAUAAUUAUUAGAUUAGACCAAAACACGAAGGGGGCGGGAAUCACUCAAACAUCAGUAGUAGAUGAGUUAAACAAGCAGUGUAUGUUUACAUAAUGGAAUUCUCUUCCAUCGUUAGAAUGCUGAAAAUUUACUUGCAUAGAAAGAUGUUCUAGCUGUCUUAAGAGAAAAAAGUAAAAUAUAUACCAAAAUUAUUUUCUCUGUAUAUUUUCUUAAAUUUCUAUAAUAAAACUGUAUAAAUAAAAUUUUAAUAAUAAGAAAGAAAAGUCAGGAGUUCCCGUCGUGGUGCAGUGGUUAACGAAUCCGACUAGGAACCAUGAGGUUGAGGGUUCGGUCCCUGCCCUUGCUCAGUGGGUUAACGAUCCGGCGUUGCCGUGAGCUGUGGUGUAGGUUGCAGAUGUGGCUCGGAUCCCGCGUUGCUGUGGCUCUGGCGUAGGCUGGUGGCUACAGCUCCAAUUCGACCCCUAGCCUGGGAACCUCCAUAUGCCGUGGGAGUGGCCCAAGAAAUAGCAAAAAGACGAAAAAAAAAAAAAGAAAAAAA
ensembl:lncRNA